GGAUCAUCUUCAUCUUUGGGGAGAUUGAAGCUGCUCCCUCAUCCUAGACAUCCUGUCUUGCCUCAGUUCCAGUCCCCCAAAGCCCAGGUAACCAUGAACUGACCUAAAUGGGUUGUACUGCAGGUUUGAAAAGCAAAGUUUUGCACCUCUCACCCUCUCCGGGCACAACACAAAACCAACUGCACUCCCUGCCAGCCACUCUCCCCUCCCCACUGAACCCCCAGCCGCACUCAGGAUCUGUGUUGAGGACAUGUGCCAGCUCUUCCAG